GCCUAUUUUAAUCCCUCCCAGAAGCUCGAGUGGGAUGGGAGGAACUUCAGCCACCUUCUUCUGUCAAGCUCUUCCCGGGCAGGGCCAGCUGACAGGAGGCAGCAGAGGCCGGAGGCCCGAGUCGGGGCCCUCUGCUCUGCCCGAGGCGGCCCGCCGCGGCCGGCUGUCUGUCCUGCCUGUGGCUGGCAGGACACCUCGCCCGGUGGCAUCAGCCCGGCUCCGCACCUGGCUCAGCUGGGCCCGCCGUGAGAGGCCGAGUCCUGACCCCAGCCCGUCCUCACGUGCUUCCCUGCACUGUUUCUAGAAGCCCGCACUCGCGUGUCCGAGCAGCUGGCGGCCUAGGAGCGCCGGCCGGGCCGCGACGCCCUCCGGGAAGCAUCUUAGGGCCGAGCGGGAGCCUGGGCGGAGGCCGGGCGCCAGCAGCCACCCCGCAGGCCUGGCCGGGGUCACCAGGGCCGCGGGGCACCGGCCGCCCGCAGAGCGGAUGGCGAGGAGGGGAAGCCCGUCCUGCCCCCCAAGCCCCGGCCCCCGGCCUGCUACCGAGGAAGGACGCACCCCCGCUGCGUUCCCCAGAACCAGCCCACGGUGGCAGUUUAGAAGGCGUCCUGCCCCGGUCCUGUGACCUCUGUCCUGGAGGAGCCGGGCCGGGCGUGUUCCCAGGAGGGAAGGGCUGGGUCGCCAAAGCAGGUCGUCUCAGACAACCCUGCGGACCCUGUGACAGCGACCUGAGUCCCGGGCACCAGCGCCGCCGGACACCGAGCUGGGAAUUUGAGCGCAGCAGCCCCCGGAUGCACAGAAACUUAGCUCCGGCGAGGCGACCGCACAGGCCGAGAAUGCCCCCCUCCCCCAGGAGGGCACGCCCGGGGCCAGCGCGGGGUCAGCGGCCCCCACUGAUGAAAGAGGAAAACCACGAGUCACGUCCGAACCUGUCAGCCCUCACGUCUGCCCCAAGUCCUGCCUCUCGGAUAAGUGCCCCAACCUCUCUGGAUGAAGACUGGGCGCAACCUGACGGGUCAAGAGCAAACGCACGAAGAUAAAUAACCAAGGCUGUUCGCCGUAGCAUGUGCUGCUUUAUUACGGGGAAAAUUGGGGAACGACCCUCCAACAAUAAGGGAUGCGCUAAAUAAGCUGCGGUACGUUCUUAGCGCAGAUCGCUUGGUAGCCACAAGUCAGGGCGGAGGAACAACUUAUUGACGCAUAAAGAUGUGUACAAUGUAUUAAAUUUCAAAAGCAAAUUAUAAGAACAUGACCUCUCUUUUAAAAACAUACAUGCAUUAAAAAUAUAUAUAAAUGGGACAGCCUGGGGGCCUCAAUGGUUGAGCGUCUGCCUUUGGCUCAGGUUGUGACCCAGGGUCCCGGAAUCGAGUCCCACAUCAGGCUCCCUGCAGGGAGCCUGCUUCUCCCUCUGCCUGUGUCUCUGCCUCUCUCUGUGUCUCUCAUGAAUAAAUACAUAAAACCUCAAAAAAAAAUAAGCA
rnacentral:lncRNA from 12 species